rnacentral:rRNA from 1 species
UACAGAGGGGGCAAGCGUUAUUCGGAAUUAUUGGGCGUAAAGAGCUCGUAGGCGGUUUGUCGCGUCUGCUGUGAAAACCUAAGGCUCAACCUUGGGCUUGCAGUGGGUACGGGCAGACUAGAGUGCGGUAGGGGUGACUGGAAUUCCUGGUGUAGCGGUGGAAUGCGCAGAUAUCAGGAGGAACACCGAUGGCGAAGGCAGGUCACUGGGCCGCAACUGACGCUGAGGAGCGAAAGCAUGGGGAGCGAACAGG